AUUGAACGCUGGCGGCAUGCUUUACACAUGCAAGUCGAACGGUAACAGGCCGCAAGGUGCUGACGAGUGGCGAACGGGUGAGUAAUGCAUCGGAACGUGCCCCGUCGAGGGGGAUAACUACUCGAAAGAGUAGCUAAUACCGCACACGAUCUAUGGAUGAAAGCGGGGGACCGUAAGGCCUCGCGCGAUUGGAGCGGCCGAUGUCGGAUUAGGUAGUUGGUGGGGUAAAGGCUCACCAAGCCAACGAUCUGUAGCUGGUCUGAGAGGACGACCAGCCACACUGGGACUGAGACACGGCCCAGACUCCUACGGGAGGCAGCAGUGGGGAAUUUUGGACAAUGGGCGCAAGCCUGAUCCAGCAAUGCCGCGUGCAGGAAGAAGGCCUUCGGGUUGUAAACUGCUUUUGUACGGGACGAAACGGCUCUGGUUAAUACCCGGGGCUAAUGACGGUACCGGAAGAAUAAGCACCGGCUAACUACGUG
rnacentral:rRNA from 1 species